rnacentral:rRNA from 1 species
UGGGGAAUAUUGCACAAUGGGCGCAAGCCUGAUGCAGCCAUGCCGCGUGUGUGAAGAUGUCCUUCGGGUUGUAAAGCACUUUCAGCGGGGAGGAAGGCGUUAAGGUUAAUAACCUUGGCGAUUGACGUUACCCGCAGCACAAGCACCGGCUAACUCCGUGCCAGCAGCCGCGGUAAUACGGAGGGUGCAAGCGUUAUUCGGAAUUACUGGGCGUAAAGCGCACGCAGGCGGUUGCUGGAGUCAGAUGUGAAAUCCCCGGGCUUAACCCGGGAAUUGCAUCUGAUACUGGUCAGCUAGAGUCUUGUAGAGGGGGGUAGAAUUCCAUGGGUAGCGGUGAAAUGCGUAGAGAUGUGGAGGAAUACCGGUGGCGAAGGCGGCCCCCUGGAAAAAGAAUGAAGCUCAGGUGCGAAAGCGUGGGGAGCAAACAGG